rnacentral:rRNA from 1 species
GAUGAACGCUGGCGGCGUGCCUAAUACAUGCAAGUCGAGCGAACAGACGAGGAGCUUGCUCCUCUGACGUUAGCGGCGGACGGGUGAGUAACACGUGGAUAACCUACCUAUAAGACUGGGAUAACUUCGGGAAACCGGAGCUAAUACCGGAUAAUAUAUUGAACCGCAUGGUUCAAUAGUGAAAGACGGUUUUGCUGUCACUUAUAGAUGGAUCCGCGCCGCAUUAGCUAGUUGGUAAGGUAACGGCUUACCAAGGCAACGAUGCGUAGCCGACCUGAGAGGGUGGUAGGCCACCCUGGAACUGAGACACGGUCCAGACGCCUACGGGAGGCAGCAGUAGGGAAUCUUCCGCAAUGGGCGAAAGCCUGACGGAGCAACGCCGCGUGAGUGAUGAAGGUCUUCGGAUCGUAAAACUCUGUUAUUAGGGAAGAACAAAUGUGUAAGUAACUAUGCACGUCUUGAUGGUACCUAAUCAGAAAGCCACGGCUAACUACGUG